rnacentral:rRNA from 1 species
AUACGGAGGGUGCAAGCGUUAAUCGGAAUUACUGGGCGUAAAGCGUACGUAGGCGGUUCGUUAAGUUAGAUGUGAAAGCCCCGGGCUUAACCUGGGAACUGCAUUUAAAACUGGCGAACUAGAGUUGAGUAGAGGGGAGUGGAAUUUCAGGUGUAGCGGUGAAAUGCGUAGAGAUCUGAAGGAACACCAGUGGCGAAGGCGACUCCCUGGACUCGAACUGACGCUGAGGUACGAAAGCGUGGGUAGCAAACAGGAUUAGAAACCCUAGUAGUCC